rnacentral:lncRNA from 1 species
GCCCAGGACUUGGCCAUACCAGGUAUAUAUGUUAUUGUUAAGGUCUUUGUGUGUGUCUCAUGUCCUUUUUUUGCCCCUAUUUUUUUCCUUUAGGUUGUGCGGCCCAGGACUUGGCCAUACCAGGUAUAUAUGUUAUUGUUAAGGUCUUUGUGUAUAGUUUCAUGUCCUUUUUUUGUCCCUAUUUUUUUCCUUUAGGUUGUGCAGCCCAGGACUUGGCCAUACCAGGUAUAUAUGUUAUUGUUAAGGUCUUUGUGUAUAUGUCUCAUGUCCUUUUUUUGUCCCUAUUUUUUUUCCUUUAGGUUGUGCGGCCCAGGACUUGGCCAUACCAGGUAUAUAUGUUAUUGUUAAGGUCUUUGUGUAUGUGUCUCAUGUCCUUUUUUUUCCCAAAUUUUUUUCCUUUUAGGUUGUGCGGCCCAGGAUUUGGCCAUACCAGGUAUAUAUGUUAUUGUUAAGGUCUUUUGUGUAUAUGUCUUGUCCUUUUUUUGCCCCUAUUUUUUUUCCUUUAGGUUGUGCGGCCCAGGACUUGGCCAUACCAGGUAUAUAUGUUAUUGUUAAGGUCUUUGUGUAUGUCUCAUGUCCUUUUUUUGCCCCUUAUUUUUUUUCCUUUAGGAUGUACGGCCCAGGACUUCGCCAUACCAGGUAUAUAUGUUAUUGUUAAGGUCUUUGUGUAAGUUUCAUGUCCUUUUUUUGCCCCUAUUUUUUUCCUUUAGGUUGUGCAGCCCAGGACUUGGCCAUACCAGGUAUAUAUGUUAUUGUUAAGGUCUUUGUGCAUUUCUCAUGUCUUUUUGUCCCUAUUUUUUUUUUCUUUAGGUUGUGCAGCCCAGGACUUGGCCAUACCAGGUAUAUAUGUUAUUGUUAAGGUCUUUGUGUGUGUCUCAUGUUCUUUUUUUGCCCCUAUUUUUUUCCUUUAGGUUGUGCGGCCCAGGACUUGGCCAUACCAGGUAUAUAUGUUAUU